GAUGAACGCUAGCGGCAGGCCUAACACAUGCAAGUCGAGGGAGAAGCCCUUUCGGGGGCAGAAACCGGCGCACGGGUGCGUAACGCGUAUGCAACCUACCUUUCACAGGGGGAUAGCCCGAAGAAAUCUGGAUUAAUACCCCAUAAUAUUAUUGGAUGGCAUCAUUUGAUAAUUAAAACUGCGGUGGUGAAAGAUGGGCAUGCGUCCUAUUAGCUAGUUGGAGUGGUAACGGCACCCCAAGGCUACGAUAGGUAGGGGUCCUGAGAGGGAGAUCCCCCACACUGGUACUGAGACAGGGACCAGACUCCUACGGGAGGCAGCAGUGAGGAAUAUUGGUCAAUGGUCGGAAGACUGAACCAGCCAUGCCGCGUGCAGGAAGAAUGCCUUAUGGGUUGUAAACUGCUUUUAUAUGGGAAGAAUAAGGCGUACGUGUACG
rnacentral:rRNA from 1 species